rnacentral:SRP_RNA from 1 species
CUGGAGGCUAGGCUGGGUCGGUAGCGGUGACCUGUAACCUUCAACCCGCUCGAGGAGGAGCUGAAGCUUGCGGGCGAUAGGUCUGUGACUGCAAGACCCGCAUCCAAGCGUCGAAGCCCAGACCUCUGGGAUGUAUGAUACGGUGAACUGGGUCAGGUCCGGAAGGAAGCAGCCCUUAUCUGUGUGGUACCUGCUUAGAGGAGCACUGAGUGGAGCACGGAUGUCGGACUCAUCUUGUUGCCAAGAUUCUAUCCACCAAGAGCGCGCCUCCAU